AUUGAACGCUGGCGGCAGGCCUAACACAUGCAAGUCGAGCGGAUGAAGGGAGCUUGCUCCUGGAUUCAGCGGCGGACGGGUGAGUAAUGCCUAGGAAUCUGCCUGGUAGUGGGGGAUAACGUCCGGAAACGGGCGCUAAUACCGCAUACGUCCUGAGGGAGAAAGUGGGGGAUCUUCGGACCUCACGCUAUCAGAUGAGCCUAGGUCGGAUUAGAUAGUUGGUGGGGUAAAGGCCUACCAAGGCGACGAUCCGUAACUGGUCUGAGAGGAUGAUUAGUCACACUGGAACUGAGACACGGUCCAGACUCCUACGGGAGGCAGCAGUGGGGAAUAUUGGACAAUGGGCGAAAGCCUGAUCCAGCCAUGCCGCGUGUGUGAAGAAGGUCUUCGGAUUGUAAAGCACUUUAAGUUGGGAGGAAGGGCAGUAAGUUAAUACCUUGCUGUUUUGACGUUACCAGCAGAAUAAGCACCGGCUAACUUCGUG
rnacentral:rRNA from 1 species